UACGUAGGGUGCAAGCGUUGUCCGGAAUUAUUGGGCGUAAAGAGCUCGUAGGCGGUUUGUUGCGUCGGCUGUGAAAUCCCGAGGCUCAACCUCGGGUCUGCAGUCGAUACGAGCAAACUAGAGUGUUGCAGGGGAGACUGGAAUUCCUGGUGUAGCGGUGAAAUGCGCAGAUAUCAGGAGGAACACCGGUGGCGAAGGCGCCUAUCUGGCCCGAUACUGACGCUGAGGCGCGAAAGCUAGGGGAGCAAACGGG
rnacentral:rRNA from 1 species